UCUGGCAGUGAUGAUGCACUUGCCCUCACUGAGAACCUCGUUCUGUAAUGAGAACCUUUGUGAGUACUCAGCCUGCUCUGAGCCGGA